GGGGCCCCGCGGAGUGGAGGCGGGCGGGGGCGCGCGGCGAUGGAAGACCUUUGCGGGAAUCUGUGCGGCGCACCGUAGCGCAAGGAAACCGGAACCGAGAGGUUAAGUAACUUGCCCCAGGGCACACAGCUGGGCGACUGUCAGUGCCAGAAUUCUGACCCACGCUGUCUGAUCGCCCUGGAACUUCGCCUGGCCACCCAUCUUAAAGAUGGGCAGAUUUCGGUACCUUGCCCCAAGGUCACCUUAGAUGGAAAA